ACUCUAAUAGUUUAUAAAAACAUUG
rnacentral:tRNA from 61 species